rnacentral:tRNA from 1 species
AAGAAAUUAGUUAAUUAUAUAACACUGACUUGUCAUGUCUGAGUAAUCUUUUGAUAUUUCUUA